rnacentral:rRNA from 1 species
AGAUUGAACUGAAGAGUUUGAUCCUGGCUCAGAUUGAACGCUGGCGGGAUGCUUUACACAUGCAAGUCGGACGGCAGCACGGGCUUCGGCCUGGUGGCGAGUGGCGAACGGGUGAGUAAUGUAUCGGAACGUGCCCAGUAGCGGGGGAUAACUACGCGAAAGCGUGGCUAAUACCGCAUACGCCCUACGGGGGAAAGCGGGGACCUUCGGGCCUCGCACUAUUGGAGCGGCCGAUAUCGGAUUAGCUAGUUGGUGGGGUAACGGCCUACCAAGGCGACGAUCCGUAGCUGGUUUGAGAGGACGACCAGCCACACUGGGACUGAGACACGGCCCAGACUCCUACGGGAGGCAGCAGUGGGGAAUUUUGGACAAUGGGGGCAACCCUGAUCCAGCCAUCCCGCGUGUGCGAUGAAGGCCUUCGGGUUGUAAAGCACUUUUGGCAGGAAAGAAACGGCACGGGCUAAUAUCCUGUGCAACUGACGGUACCUGCAGAAUAAGCACCGGCUAACUACGUGCCAGCAGCCGCGGUAAUACGUAGGGUGCAAGCGUUAAUCGGAAUUACUGGGCGUAAAGCGUGCGCAGGCGGUUCGGAAAGAAAGAUGUGAAAUCCCAGGGCUUAACCUUGGAACUGCAUUUUUAACUACCGGGCUAGAGUGUGUCAGAGGGAGGUGGAAUUCCGCGUGUAGCAGUGAAAUGCGUAGAUAUGCGGAGGAACACCGAUGGCGAAGGCAGCCUCCUGGGAUAACACUGACGCUCAUGCACGAAAGUGUGGGGAGCAAACAGGAUUAGAUACCCUGGUAGUCCACGCCCUAAACGAUGUCAACUAGCUGUUGGGGCCUUCGGGCCUUGGUAGCGCAGCUAACGCGUGAAGUUGACCGCCUGGGGAGUACGGUCGCAAGAUUAAAACUCAAAGGAAUUGACGGGGACCCGCACAAGCGGUGGAUGAUGUGGAUUAAUUCGAUGCAACGCGAAAAACCUUACCUACCCUUGACAUGUCUGGAAUCCCGAAGAGAUUUGGGAGUGCUCGCAAGAGAACCGGAACACAGGUGCUGCAUGGCUGUCGUCAGCUCGUGUCGUGAGAUGUUGGGUUAAGUCCCGCAACGAGCGCAACCCUUGUCAUUAGUUGCUACGAAAGGGCACUCUAAUGAGACUGCCGGUGACAAACCGGAGGAAGGUGGGGAUGACGUCAAGUCCUCAUGGCCCUUAUGGGUAGGGCUUCACACGUCAUACAAUGGUCGGGACAGAGGGUUGCCAACCCGCGAGGGGAGCCAAUCCCAGAAACCCGGUCGUAGUCCGGAUCGCAGUCUGCAACUCGACUGCGUGAAGUCGGAAUCGCUAGUAAUCGCGGAUCAGCAUGUCGCGGUGAAUACGUUCCCGGUCUUGUACACACCGCCCGUCACACCAUGGGAGUGGGUUUUACCAGAAGUAGUUAGCCUAACCGCAAGGGGGCGAUUACCACGGUAGGAUUCAUGACUGGGGUGAAGUCGUAACAAGGUAGCCGUAUCGGAAGGUGCGGCUGGAUCACCUCCUUU